ACUGUCGCCGAGAGAGGGGAGAGUGAUCCGAGAGAUUUUCUAGGGUUUCGGUUUCAGCCCCAAAUCCAUGGCCUCUAACCCUAACCCUAGCAUUUCCAUCGUCAUUGGCGUCGACAAGUCCGACAAAUCCUCGACCGGGGAGGAACAUAGAGAUGGGAAUCGAGAGGAAAUUUCUCUUUCGAGUCCGAAUGGCGACGAUUCGGUCGAGAGAUCUGAAGUGGAGCAGUAUAAGGGAUUGAAGGAUCAAAGGUUGGGAAUGGAGGGGAAUGGGGAGGGGAUUUCGAUUCUAGAAGCCUCUGAUUUGAGUAAGGAAGAAGCGAAGGCUAAUAACGGCGAUCCAAAGGAGAAGGCUGAAAUUGAGGAGAUGGGAAAAUUAGAAGGCGUUGAGUGUGGAGACUCAACGGAGAAAUCUGAUGUAGUAGAGAAUUCUGGGUUUGAGAAUCAAAAUGUUGUUAAAAGAAGAAUUAGAGAGGAAAUUCCUCUUUCAAGUGUGAACGGUGACGAUUCGAAAGAAUUGAGAAAUGCAGUAGGUCAGAAGUUUGAAGCUGAGAAGGAUCGGAGAUUGGAAAGUGAGGUAAAUGAAGAGGGAAUUUGUGUGAGUAUGGAUGUAGAGUCUAGAGAUAGGAAUCAAGUAGUUCCUUUUCCGGAUACCGUUUCUUUUAAUGCAAAUGCCAAUAUUGAAGAGGAGAUGGAGAAUAGUGGCGACUUGAUGGAGAAGUGUGUUGGAAAUUUCGAAGAUGUUGUCGAGCCUAAAGAUAUUGAAUCUGAUGGAGACUCAGUAAGUAAAGAUACUAUCGUGGUAAGAGAGGAGAAAGAACAUGAAAUGGGUGUUGAUGGACAUUCGAAGGAAACAGAUAUACAGAAUUCUGAGUUCGAGGAUCCAAAUAUUGUUAAAAAGAAAAGAGGAAGACCUCCCAAGAACAAGAGCCAUCUUACAAACCAAACCCCAGUUAAAGCUUUAAUCCCACUUGAUUCAAAUGUUGAUUCUGUGAAAAAGAGAGGCAGACCUCGUGAGAAGAUUAAAGAAGAAUAUGUUCUUGCUAUUCCAACUCCAAUUGGAACUCGUCUCAGUUCUCGGAGAAGAUUAAGAGACAUAAGUAAAGAUUUUGCUUUGGAUUCUGCUGGCAUGAACGAAAGACAUAAAAAGAAAAUUGCAAAGGAAGUAUGCUCAGUAAACGAAGGAGAUUUUCAGGUUCAAAAUAUCUCAAGCAAAUUGAAAGAGUCUUCCUAUUUGAACGAAAUGCUGUCGAAACUCAUCCUACUUGCUGCAGAUCCAUAUGAGGAAUUCAAUUCUCUGCCUAUGAUCAUAAGCUUCUUCACUGAUUUCAGAGAUUUUUGUUCAACUAUUGCCUCUGAGGAUCAUGAGCCCGAGAAACCAAUAGGAAAGAAGCGAGGAAGGAAGAAGAAAACAGUGAGCUUCGAUCUUGAUCCUGACUAUACACAGGACUCAGGAACAAAGACAGCAGUAUCCAGGGGCCAAAAAAGAAAAAACCCAUCUCAAGACAAUGGGCAGAAAGAGAAGAUUCAAAAGGUUAAUUGUGCAGAGGAAAUUAAGGAAGAGUCACCAACUGCACUGAUUUUAACAUUUGAGGACCCUGAUGCUCUUCCUUCUGAAAGAUACCUCAACAAAGUUUUCAGUCAUUAUGGACCUUUGAUUAAAGAAGAAACUGAUAUUCUGAGAAAAUCAAACAGAGCAUUAGUCGUUUUCAAAUAUAGCAUUGAUGCACAAAGUGCUUUGAGGAAUGCAGGGAAAGUAAGAGUUUUUGGGCCAGCACUUCAUAGUUACAGGCUAAGAGAACUUUUGCCUAAAUCUUCUCCAGCUACAAUUCAAGAUCAAGAAGGGAAUCAAGAAGGGAAUGGAGUCGCAAUUGACAACGAGUGAACUGAAGUUAAUUGAGUAGCAGAUCAUCUCAGUGCAUUAAUAGGUGGAUCACCUCAGAAGUUUGUUUGACAAAUUAACGAUAAGGAAUGUUGGGCUCAUCUUUGAUCGAGAUCCUAUCGGAGGGAGGGAUCCAUUGUCGGUUUUGAUACUUGGGCAUCCGAUCUGCAUGAUUGGGAGUACGAAUCAGAUGAGACUGGCCCUAGAAUAACCUAGCAUACCAUCCAGAAUCAGCAUCCACGAGCAAUAUAUAGUGAAAGAGCUUGGGGAAAAGGAGGAGCCUAUAGAUUAGAAAGGAUGAGAACCCUUGGAUGAAGAGUUUGUGGAUGAGGAAGAGUUCACAAAGGAGGAGUUUGUGGGUGAGGCAGAACCCGUAGAGUAGGAGGAGCCCGUGGACGAGCAGGAGGUUGUGCAAGAGUAUGAAUUGGUAACAAAGGUAGAGCUCGUCAAAGAGGAGGGCAGCUAGUUCCUUCCCUACUUUUGGGGUUGGACUCUAGACGAUGGUUGUGCUGGGACAGUAAUAAGAUUAUUUUAGAUUUAUUGUCAUGAUAUGCAUAUUCUACCUUGUUGUAUAUUGUGUUUCCAUCAAGUUACACCAUUGUUUUGGGAGGACGAACACCUAGAUAUAUGGUGUCUUUUGCAAU